GGGUCGUUAGCUCAGUGGCAGAGCACCUGACUUUUAAUCAGGGAGUCGCUGGUUCGAAUCCAGCACGACCCA
rnacentral:tRNA from 1 species